ensembl:lncRNA
AAGACUGCAGCCAGAGAAAGGGAUGAGAAAUCAAUGCCUAAGUCUCUCCACUUGGGGGGGGGGGGUCAGCAGCAGAAUGAGGGUUGGGGUAGAGUAGCGGGACCUCACCAGCCCCCCCAGAACAUAUACACUCCUGUACACAGGCAGCCACAGGAGGUCAGCUGCUUACAGAAGAGGGAGGCCGGUCCAGGGUGGGAGCAGAGGGUACCCUCUAUGUCAGCACACUGGGGACCCUAAGACAGAGAAGAGGUUGGGGAGACUUCUCCAAGCCUAGGGGCUUUUCCGUCAGAUUUCCGAGAGUUGUUGGGCACCCCACCUAGCACACAGUGGGGGGCUGACUCCUUGCCCAGCAGCAGCCUGACAGCCGUGCCCAGUUAGGCGCGUAGGGGACUCAGCCAAGCCCAUGUUCCGGCCCCCGCCCCCAGCAGACACACAUCUGGCUAGCAGCUUCCAAGCCUCGUGGGUAGCACCCGGUCCCAGACAUGCUCAGCAGAGCAAGGUCGGCCAGUCUGCUCCUCCGCCUCCACUCACCCCAAAAGGCUUCCACAACCCCACGCAGCACAAGACCCGGGGACACCCCACCCAACGGCACCAGCUCGCACCCCGCACCCCAAUCUCCGCCCGCCUCCACGGGGGCACCAGCUGAGCGGGCCCCGCCCCCCAGCCUGUCCCUCCGGUGUUGGGGGAGCAGGCGGGUUCUCCCCCAAACCACGGAGCGGCUCAGGUAACCGGAGGGAGAGGAGGAGGGGCCGGUCCGGUGGGCAUCUGAUCUCUCCCCAAACAGGACAGAGGCUGGGGAAGAGCUGGCGGCUGAUUUCUCCAGACAAGGAUCCUUCUCAACAGAGGAAGCCAGGUGCAAUGGUGCCCACCUGGAAGCCCAUUACUGAGGGAGGCCAAGGCAGGAGGGACGAAAGUUUGAGACUAAUCUGGGCAACUUUUCGAGAUCCCGUCUCCAAAUCAAAAAUAAAAAGUUUCGCCACCUGCUGCACAAGCUCAAGGACCCAAGUUCAAUCCCCGGUACCAAAAAAUAAAAAUUAAAAAAUUAAAAAUAAAAAGUGGGCCGGGGAUUUAGCUUAGUGAUGCCAUGCCUGCCUUGCAAGUGUAAGGUCAUGAGCUUGAUCCCCGGUACUGCAAAAUAAAAUAAAAUAAAAUAAAUAAAAAGUGAUGGGGAU